AGUUAGCUCUUGUAAAUUGACCAGCUCUGUUGUCUGAUUAUUCCACUGAGGAGAACACUUGGUCCUGGUCCUGGUCCUUCGC